GGAUUAGUGUAACGGUAACACACCGGACUCUGACUCCGUUUGCGGGGGUUCGAAUCCCUCAUCC
rnacentral:tRNA from 1 species